CUCAGUUCGGAUUGGAGUCUGCAACCCGACUCCAUGAAGCUGGAUUCGCUAGUAAUCGCGCAUCAGCCACGGCGCGGUGAAUACGUUCCCGGGCCUUGUACACACCGCCCGUCAAGCCAUGGAAGCCGGGGGUGCCUGAAGUGCGCUGCCGCAAGGAGCGCCCUAGGGUAAAACCGGUGACUGGGGCUAAGUCGUAACAAGGUACC
rnacentral:rRNA from 1 species